UGCAAAACCAAUCAAUUAGCAAAAUCCCUACACAAGACCCAUACGAGAGAGAGCUAGAUUCAACAAAUUUUCAAAUCAAACAACAAAUUUAGAUGUUGAGUCCUCUCAAUUUGAGUCCUUUUCUCAAACUCAGUCCCAUCUUUGUUAAAAUUGGUCAAGUCUUUUCAAUUUUACAAUUUUCUCUCCACAAAUUAAAGUCAUAAAAAGAUAUGGAAAACUGCAGAUUUCAACCGAUAAAUAUGGAUUUUUUUCAUAUACGGAGGAAAAAACAAAUUGGAGUUUGAAGAUUACAAAGAAAACAACAGUAGCCGAACAACAUUGAUGUAGAUUUCAGGACUCUUUGUGUGAACUUUACAGAAACAAAUGGAUGAUCUUGCUGAGGUGUAUCCUGAUUUAAAUGUCUCUGGAUGUGCUCCUAAUGAUGUGUACUCACAAGUAAUGGGAUCAGACGCUCAUGGAAUUGUCCGAACUUUAGGAAAAGGAGCAUCUCCUAGCUUAGUUUAUGGCCCCGUAUAUAAAUGAUCUCAAGCUGAAAAAAGAGAUUUUGAUACAAGGGUUGCGAUGGAAGUUCAAAAAGCUACCUUAGCUAUGAAAAUUGAGAUGAUCGAAAAGAUAUCUGAAGCAAAAAUAGAGAUGGAAGAGAUGGAUGAGAAGUUUUUAGAAGCGAAAGAGGAAGCAAAAGAGGAUAAGGAAGCGAUGGAGAAAAAAUUAUCGGAAGCAAAAAGGGAUAUGGAAGAAAUUAUAGCUGAUAAAGUGAAGAAGGAAUACAAGCAUAUAUAGAGUCUUUGGGUAUUAAUCUUGAUGCAAAUUUAAAAUCAAAGCAGGUUCCUGAUAACUCACUUGAAGAUUGUCAACAAUCAUUAUCACAUGCUCCAGUUGUUCAAACAAAAAAGGUUCCUGAUAACUCAUUCGAUGAUUGUCAACAAUCAUUAUCACCUGUUUCAGUUGUUCACACAAAAAAGGCUAACAUGAUCAAGAAGAUUGGAACUAGCGUAGUUGAAAAAAAUAAAAAGAAGUGGGAAAGUUUGAAAAAAACUACAAAUCAUCAAACCU